UGGAUCACCUCCUAACAGGGAGACAACAAAAUGUUUAAUAUUAUUAUUUUGUCACCUUAGGUCGAUCGGUAUCUCACGUUUUUAAUUUAUUAAGAAUUUCAUUUCCUAAGUUUUUCUAGGUCACACCCAUUAUUUUUCCUGGGCCAUUAGCUCAGGUGGUUAGAGCGCACCCCUGAUAAGGGUGAGGUCCCUGGUUCAAGUCCAGGAUGGCCCAUAUCUCUAUGUUGGGGGUAUAGCUCAGUUGGUAGAGCGCCUGCUUUGCAAGCAGGAUGUCAGCGGUUCGAGUCCGCUUACCUCCACUGAUUACCACCUCUUCCAUAACCGGUAGAAAGGAAAUGUUUUGAGUUGUGAUCAAAUUCUGAAAGAAUCUAGCUUCCUAAUGAAAUCAUUAAGAUGCUGGACUCAUUGAAUUAAUUUCAUUGUUUUCAGAGAACCUUGACAACUGCAUAGAUUAUUUUUAAAGACAAUAAGCAUCUUUAAUGAUGCAGACUUAUUAUUUGUGCGAAUGCAUUAAUAACAAUUCUAUUAAGCUGAUGCUUCAAUUUUUGAAGUUAUUGGUCAAGCUACAAAGGGCUCACGGAGGAUACCUAGGCACACAGAGGCGAUGAAGG
rnacentral:tRNA from 1 species